rnacentral:misc_RNA from 1 species
AACAUCGCGCACCUGCGGGAACCUGCGGAAGGAUCAUUACCGAGUUAUACAACUCAUCAACCCUGUGAACAUACCUAAAACGUUGCCUCGGCGGGAACAGACGGCCCCGUAACACGGGCCGCCCCCGCCAGAGGACCCCCUAACUCUGUUUCUAUAAUGUUUUUUCUGAGUAAACAAGCAAAUAAAUCAAAACUUUUAGCAACGGAUCU